UGCCAGCAGCCGCGGUAAUUCCAGCUCCAAUAGCGUAUAUUAAAGUUGUUGCGGUUAAAAAGCUCGUAGUUGGAUCUCGGUUUCACUCAGGUGGUACACCUUGCGGUGUUCACUAUCUGGGUGGACGUUUCUGUUGGUUCGCUCUUGGUGCUCUUCAUCGGGUGCCAUUUGGUGGCCAGCACGUUUACUUUGAAAAAAUUGGAGUGCUCAAAGCAGGCGUUACAGCCUGAACAUUAGUGCAUGGAAUAAUGGAAUAGGAUCUCGAUUCUAUUUCGUUGGCUUUCGGAGUCGAGGUAAUGAUUAAUAGGGACAGACGGGGGCUUUCGUACUGCGACGUUAGAGGUGAAAUUCUUGGAUCGUCGCAAGACGAACUACUGCGAAAGCAUUUGCCAAGAAUGUUUUCAUUAAUCAAGAACGAAAGUUAGAGGUUCGAAGGCGAUCAGAUACCGCCCUAGUUCUAACCAUAAACGAUGCCAACCGGCGAUCCGUCGUCGUUAAUUGAAUGACUCGACGGGCAGCCUCCGGGAAACCAGAGUGUUUGGGUUCCGGGGGAAGUAUGGUUGCAAAGCUGAAACUUAAAGGAAUUGACGGAAGGGCACCACCAGGAGUGGAGCCUGCGGCUUAAUUUGACACAACACGGGAAAUCUCACCAGGCCCGGACACCGGAAGGAUUGACAGAUUGAGAGCUCUUUCUUGAUUCGGUGGGUGGUGGUGCAUGGCCGUUCUUAGUUGGUGGAGCGAUUUGUCUGGUUAAUUCCGAUAACGAACGAGACUCUGGCCUACUAACUAGAAGGUCUAUCCUUUAUGGGUAGGCCUCUGCUUCUUAGAGGGACGGGCGGCGUUUAGCCGCACGAGAAUGAGCAAUAACAGGUCUGUGAUGCCCUUAGAUGUUCUGGGCUGCACGCGCGCUACACUGAAGGAAUCAGCAUGUUCUCCCCUCCCUGAAAAGGGCGGGUAACCCGUUGAAACUCCUUCGUGAUGGGGAUUGGAGAUUGUAAUUAUUCUCCAUGAACGAGGAAUUCCCAGUAGGCGCGAGUCAUCAGCUUGCGUCGAUUACGUCCCUGCCCUUUGUACACACCGCCCGUCGCUACUACCGAUCGAGUGAUUUAGUGAGGACUUCGGACUGGUCUUCAAGUUGGCUUCGGUCGGCUCGAAGUUCCGGAAAGAUGCCCAAACUUGAUCACUUAGAGGAAGUAAAAGUCGUAACAAGGUUUCCGUAGGUGAACCUGCGGAAG
rnacentral:rRNA from 1 species